rnacentral:rRNA from 1 species
GACGAACGCUGGCGGCGUGCUUAACACAUGCAAGUCGAGCGGUAAGGCCCUUUCGGGGGUACGACGAGCGGCGAACGGGUGAGUAACACGUGGGUGACCUGCCCUCAGCUCUGGGAUAAGCCUGGGAAACCGGGUCUAAUACCGGAUAUGACUCCAUGACGCAUGUUGUGGGGUGGAAGGCCUUGUGCGGCUGAGGAUGGGCCCGCGGCCUAUCAGCUUGUUGGUGGGGUGAUGGCCUACCAAGGCGACGACGGGUAGCCGGCCUGAGAGGGCGACCGGCCACACUGGGACUGAGACACGGCCCAGACUCCUACGGGAGGCAGCAGUGGGGAAUCUUGCGCAAUGGGCGAAAGCCUGACGCAGCGACGCCGCGUGAGGGAUGACGGCCU